AACGAACGCUGGCGGCAGGCUUAACACAUGCAAGUCGAACGCAUCCUUCGGGGUGAGUGGCAGACGGGUGAGUAACGCGUGGGAACGUGCCCUUCAGUUUGGAAUAACCAAGGGAAACUUGGGCUAACACCGGAUACGCCCGAAAGGGGAAAGAUUUAUCGCUGAAGGAUCGGCCCGCGUCUGAUUAGCUGGUUGGUGAGGUAAUGGCUCACCAAGGCGACGAUCAGUAGCUGGUCUGAGAGGAUGAUCAGCCACAUUGGGACUGAGACACGGCCCAAACUCCUACGGGAGGCAGCAGUGGGGAAUAUUGGACAAUGGGCGCAAGCCUGAUCCAGCCGUGCCGCGUGAGUGAUGACGGCCUUAGGGUUGUAAAGCUCUUUCGCACGCGACGAUAAUGACGGUAGCGUGAGAAGAAGCCCCGGCUAACUUCGUGCCAGCCGCCGCAGUAACAC
rnacentral:rRNA from 1 species